rnacentral:rRNA from 1 species
CCCUUAGAUGUUCUGGGCUGCACGCGCGCUACACUGAUGCACUCAACGAGUUUACGACCUUGCCCGAUAGGGUUGGGUAAUCUUUUUAAAAUGCAUCGUGAUGGGGAUAGAUUAUUGCAAUUAUUAAUCUUCAACGAGGAAUUCCUAGUAAGCGCGAGUCAUCAGCUCGUGCUGAUUACGUCCCUGCCCUUUGUACACACCGCCCGUCGCUCCUACCGAUUGAGUGCUCAGGUGAAUAAUUCGGACUGCAGCAAUGUUUGGAUCCCGAACGCUGCAGCGGAAAGUUUAGUGAACCUUAUCACUUAGAGGAAGGAGAAGUCGUAACA